GGGAGGGAGGGCGGAUGCGCGGCCGCACCCGCGGGGCGAGCCCGGCCGCGGGCAGCGCUGGCCCUCGGCCGCCUCGGGCUCACGGCGUGCGGGAGAGCGGGGACAGACGGGCUUUGAGGUGGGGUUUCUCAGGACAGGCGGCGGUGCUGCUUUACUCCUCCCAUCGUCUCGCAGCGAGCUUGCCGGCCACGGACUCCUCCAAACUGAGCAAAGCGGAGGUGCCGCUCCCGCUGGGCACCCUGAGGAAAGGUGGUGCUACGGACGGCAGUGAGAGUGAUGCGGAGUGGGAAGAGCCCCAGACGUGAGGCUGUCUCUGCUGUCCUGGGGACGAGGGGACGACCUGUUAGAAGCAGACGUGGUUCUGUAGUUAGAAAUGAACUUACCUUGGCAGGAAACACUUUGCCAGGCUGGCAAAGAGACUGCUUAGCCCUCGUGUGCCCGAUUUCCUCAGAAGAAGCACAAAAGGAGAUGUUCUGUUCUUUGAAAAUAACUGGAGCCACUGGCAAGAAGCAGCGACACUGCAUCGAACAAGGGAACCACUUCCAGGUUAUCAAAACAUGCUGUUGA
rnacentral:lncRNA from 1 species